rnacentral:rRNA from 1 species
UACAGGGGGUGCAAACGUUGCUCGGAAUCAUUGGGCGUAAAGCGCACGUAGGCGGUUCGUUAUGUCGGAUGUGAAAGCCCUUGGCUUAACCGAGGAAGUGCAUCCGAAACUGGCGAGCUAGAGUACUAAAGAGGAUCGCGGAAUUCCCGGUGUAGAGGUGAAAUUCGUAGAUAUCUGGAGGAACACCGGUGGCGAAGGCGGCAUCCUGGACCGGCAUUGACGCUGAUGAGCGAAAGCCAGGGGAGCAAACGGG